AAGUACCUACCACGCCACCCGCUACCUGCAAUAAUCCAUCUGAAGAGGUCGCCGGGCAGCGGCUCGGCAGACAGACUGACCUGCGGGGAGGUGCGGUUUCCAGUGGCGCGGGACAGCCGGCUCCGAGAAGGAACUGGGACCUUUGCCUAGGGCAAGACGUCAACAGGAACCCGCAGGCCCGGCCUGGACACCUGCUGCCCUCACUGGAAGCUUUAACUCCCACUCGAGUCUCUUGGCGUCGUCAGUGCCAGGAGCGCUUGGAUUGGGAUGGGGACGAAGAAAGGUGCCUCGCUCGCCGAGCCCCGCUGCACUUGGGGAACUGGCAAAGUCGAGGUUUCCUCACAGCGUUGAGAUUGAGACUGGGGGUCGUGGUCUCAAAUAGUCAAGACCCCCUGCUGGGAGGAGCUAUCCUGCUCUUUGGAAGAAAUGGGCAUGCCAGAUGCCUGGAAGAUCAGAGGCUCACAUUCCAGCUGGAACCAUGGAGGAUGUAGAAGAGAAGAAGAAGAAGGUUCCUGCUAUGCCAGAAACCCUUAAGAAAAAGGGAAGGAAUUUCUCAGAGCUG
rnacentral:antisense_RNA from 1 species